UUAAGGCGCCCGGUGCGGGACGCUCAUGAGAUCCCAUGAAGGGUGUUGGUUGCUUAGAACAGGUAGGACGGUGGCCAUGGAAGUCGGAACCCGCUAAGGAGUGUGUAACAACUCACCUGCCGAAGCAACUAGCCCCGAAAAUGGAUGGCACUUUAGUGUCGAGCCUAUA
rnacentral:ncRNA from 1 species